GCGGCAGCGCGAGGCAACCUGGCGGCGAGCGGCGAACGGGUGAGUAAUGCAUCGGAACAUGUCCAAGUCGUGGGGGAUAGCCCGGCGAAAGCCGGAUUAAUACCGCAUAAGCCCGGGAGGGGAAGGCAGGGGACCGCAAGGCCUUGCACGAUUGGGUUGGCCGAUGUCCGAUUAGCUAGUUGGUGAGGUAAAGGCUUACCAAGGCGAUGAUCGGUAGCUGGUCCGAGAGGAUGAUCAGCCACACUGGGACUGAGACACGGCCCAGACUCCUACGGGAGGCAGCAGUGGGGAAUUUUGGACAAUGGGGGCAACCCUGAUCCAGCCAUUCCGCGUGAGUGAAGAAGGCCUUCGGGUUGUAAAGCUCUUUUGUCCGGAGCGAAACGGUACGGGUGAAUAUCCCGUGCUACUGACGGUACCGGAAGAAUAAGCACCGGCUAACUACGUGCCAGCAGCCGCGGUAAUA
rnacentral:rRNA from 1 species